rnacentral:rRNA from 1 species
UACGUAGGGGGCAAGCGUUAUCCGGAUUCACUGGGUGUAAAGGGAGCGUAGACGGCCAUGCAAGCCUGGAGUGAAAGCCCGGGGCCCAACCCCGGGACUGCUCUGGGAACUGUGUGGCUGGAGUGCGGGAGGGGCAGGCGGAAUUCCUGGUGUAGCGGUGAAAUGCGUAGAUAUCAGGAGGAACACCGGUGACGAAAGCGGCUCUCUGGCCUGUAACUGACACUGAGGCUCGAAAGCGUGGGGAGCAAACAGG